AGCGAACGCUGGCGGCAGGCCUAACACAUGCAAGUCGAACGCCAAGAAAGGGGAGCGGCAGACGGGAGAGGAACACGUGGGAACGUACCCUUUGGUUCGGAACAACCCAGGGAAACUUGGGCUAAUACCGGAUAAGCCCUUACGGGGAAAGAUUCAUCGCCGAAGGAUCGGCCCGCGUCUGAUUAGCUAGUUGGUGGGGUAACGGCCCACCAAGGCGAGGAUCAGUAGCUGGUCUGAGAGGAUGAUCAGCCUCACUGGGACUGAGACACGGACCAGACUCCUACGGGAGGCAGCAGGUGGGAAUAUGGGACAAUGGGCGCAAGCCUGAUCCGGCCAUGCCGCGUGGGUGAUGAAGGCCCUAGGGUUGUAAAGCCCUUUCGGCGGGGAAGAUAAUGACGGUACCCGCAGAAGAAGCCCCGGCUAACUUCGUGCCAGCCGCCGCCGUAACAC
rnacentral:rRNA from 1 species